rnacentral:rRNA from 1 species
GAUGAACGCUGGCGGCGUGCCUAAUACAUGCAAGUCGAGCGAACAGACGAGGAGCUUGCUCCUCUGACGUUAGCGGCGGACGGGUGAGUAACACGUGGAUAACCUACCUAUAAGACUGGGAUAACUUCGGGAGACCGGAGCUAAUACCGGAUAAUAUAUUGAACCGCAUGGUUCAAUAGUGAAAGACGGUUUUGCUGUCACUUAUAGAUGGAUCCGCGCCGCAUUAGCUAGUUAGUAAGGUAACGGCUUACCAAGGCAACGAUGCGUAGCCGACCUGAGAGGGUGAUCGGCCACACUGGAACUGAGACACGGUCCAGACUCCUACGGGAGGCAGCAGUAGGGAAUCUUCCGCAAAGGGCGAAAGCUUGACGGAGCAACGCCGCGUGAGUGAUGAAGGUCUUCGGAUCGUAAAACUCUGUUAUUAGGGAAGAACAAAUGUGUAAGUAACUAUGCACGUCUUGACGGUACCUAAUCAGAAAGCCACGGCUAACUACGUG